rnacentral:rRNA from 1 species
UACAGAGGGUGCGAGCGUUAAUCGGAAUUACUGGGCGUAAAGCGCGCGUAGGCGGCUUUGCAAGUCGAGUGUGAAAUCCCCAGGCUUAACCUGGGAACUGCAUUCGAGACUGCAUAGCUAGAGUAUGGGAGAGGGAAGUGGAAUUUCAGGUGUAGCGGUGAAAUGCGUAGAUAUCGGAAGGAACACCUGUGGCGAAAGCGGCUCACUGGACCAUUACUGACGCUGAGGCACGAAAGCUAGGGGAGCAAACAGG